GGGGACAAUAUGGACUCAAAUCCACACACACGGCAGGUACAGGACAGGUGAGGGACAGGUGAAGGACAGGUGAGGGACAGGUGAGGGACAGGUGAGGGACAGGUGAGGGACAGGUGAAGGACAGGUGAGGGACAGGUGAAGGACAGGUGAAGGACAGGUGAGGGACAGGUGAG